rnacentral:rRNA from 1 species
CUACGGGUGGCAGCAGUGAGGAAUAUUGCACAAUGGGGGAAACCCUGAUGCAGCAACGCCGCGUGGAGGAUGACGCAUUUCGGUGUGUAAACUCCUUUUAUAUGUCAAGAAAAUGACGGUAGCAUAUGAAUAAGCACCGGCUAACUCCGUGCCAGCAGCCGCGGUAAUACGGAGGGUGCAAGCGUUACUCGGAAUCACUGGGCGUAAAGGACGCGUAGGCGGGUUGUCAAGUCAGGUGUGAAAUCCUACAGCUUAACUGUAGAACUGCACUUGAAACUGGCAGCCUAGAGUAUGGGAGGGGGAGAUGGAAUUAGUAGUGUAGGGGUAAAAUCCGUAGAUAUUACUAGGAAUAUCAAAAGCGAAGGCGAUCUCCUGGAACAUUACUGACGCUAAGGCGUGAAAGCGUGGGGAGCAAACAGGAUUAGAUACCCGCGUAGUC